AGGAUGACUAAGUUUUGAUCAUCAUUUGAAAGGAAUUAGCGGUAACUGCGGUCUAAGUCUAUGUAUUGGUGAGUGGAGCUAACUCGGUUCAGCUGAACAACCAAAAUACAGAGACUGAAGCUUUUGGUCUAGCGUUCUAUGAGAAACACACAACUAACUACCGUCAGUUUUUCAAACCUAAUUGACUUCAAAGUCAUCGAUCACAACAAG